UGGGGCGUAGCCAAGUGGAAAGGCAACGGGUUUUGGUCCCGCUAUUCGGAGGUUCGAAUCCUUCCGCCCCAG
rnacentral:tRNA from 2 species